GCAUUGGUGGUUCAGUGAUAGAAUUCUUGCCUUCCAUGCAGGAGACCCAGGUGCAGUCCCUGACCAGUGCA
rnacentral:tRNA from 1 species